rnacentral:rRNA from 1 species
GGAGCAGGCGGCGGCAGAGGUUUGUGGUGAAAGACUGAAGCUUAACUUCAGUAAGCCAUAGAAACCGGGCUGCUAGAGUGCAGGAGAGGAUCGUGGAAUUCCAUGUGUAGCGGUGAAAUGCGUAGAUAUAUGGAGGAACACCAGUGGCGAAGGCGACGGUCUGGCCUGUAACUGACGCUCAUUCCGAAAGCGUGGGGAGCAAAUA